rnacentral:rRNA from 1 species
CACGUAGGGUGCGAGCGUUGUCCGGAAUUAUUGGGCGUAAAGAGCUCGUAGGCGGCUCGGUAAGUCGGAUGUGAAACCUCCAGGCUCAACCUGGAGACGCCAUCUGAUACUGCCGUGGCUUGAGUCCGGUAGAGGAGCAGGGAAUUCCUGGUGUAGCGGUGAAAUGCGCAGAUAUCAGGAGGAACACCAGCGGCGAAGGCGCUGCUCUGGGCCGGUACUGACGCUGAGGAGCGAAAGCGUGGGGAGCGAACAGG